rnacentral:rRNA from 1 species
GAUGAACGCUGGCUACAGGCUUAACACAUGCAAGUCGAGGGGAAACGACGGGGAAGCUUGCUUCCCCGGGCGUCGACCGGCGCACGGGUGAGUAACGCGUAUCCAACCUGCCUCUGACUGAGGGAUAACCCGUCGAAAGUCGGCCUAAUACCUCAUGGCAUCGUCUGCGGGCAUCCAACGACGAUUAAAGAUUUCAUCGGUCAGAGAUGGGGAUGCGUCUGAUUAGCUUGUUGGCGGGGUAACGGCCCACCAAGGCGACGAUCAGUAGGGGUUCUGAGAGGAAGGUCCCCCACAUUGGAACUGAGACACGGUCCAAACUCCUACGGGAGGCAGCAGUGAGGAAUAUUGGUCAAUGGGCGAGAGCCUGUACCAGCCAAGUAGCGUGCAGGAUGACGGCCCUAUGGGUUGUAAACUGCUUUUAUGCGGGGAUAAAGUGAGGGACGUGUCCUUCAUUGCAGGUACCGCAUGAAUAAGGACCGGCUAAUUCCGUG